GGAACGCAAGAGCUGUAUUGAUCAUUUUACCCUGAUGGUGCCUCUGAGACGCACGGAUCAGUAGACAGCUGGACUGAACUCCUGGCAUUUGGACUGAGCAGUCCAUACGGUCUCACCAACAGCACUGCCUAACCGUGAGCUGAAUGAAGACAACAGUAAUAAUCAUACUAAAGUGGACCCGGGCAGUGCAGUGAGGGGGACACCACACGAGGCCUCAACCCUACACAACGAGCUAAAGGCAACGAAGGCGUGCUGACAGCAGGAGAAACAGUCUUCCUCAAGGAAGAACGCAUCAAUUGGUUUUCUAAUACCAACAGGAAAAGUUUUAAAGACUAUAAGAAACAGUGUUACCGAAGUGUCUUAGUCAGGGUUUCUAUUGCUGUGAUGAAAACACCCUGACCAAAAAUCAAAUUAGAAGGUAGCUACUUGUAUUCUAAUGUUAAUUGGGUCCCCCAAAACUGUUUGUAUGAGCAGAUCUACAUGUAGCUUUUGGGAACCUGCCCCCAGUUAACUUUGAUUGGUAAGUAAAGAUGUCAGCAGCCAAUAGUUGGGGAGGAGAGACAUAGGCAGGGUUUUAGGUUUUCUGGGCUUGGGUCCAUGAGGAAGGAGGAGGAGAGACGUCAUGCAUCAGGAGUGUACUGGACAGAGAAGGAGAGCUGCCAUGUAAAGGAGCCAAGAGAAUGUGGCCCGGAGUGCUGCUCAACUGGCUCAAGAGCAGCCAAGAUGGAACAUAGGCGUUAGUAAAUAGUGACUCGGAGUUAUCAUCAUGAGGUAGAUGCUAACAACAUGGAAGUUAGGCAGUUGCCCAGCUGUUUACGGUGCUGCUUAAGACAUAUUAAAAUAUAUAUAAAGGC